rnacentral:lncRNA from 10 species
GGCAAGUCUUUCCUGUGCUAGUCUCGCGAUAGUGAAUAAGUCUCACGAGAUCUGACAAUUUUAAAAAGAAGAGUUCCCCUGCGCAAGUUUUGUUUCUUUGCCUCCUGCAGUCUGUGCCUUCCACCAUGAUCAUGAGGCUUCCCCAGCCACACAGAACUGUCCUGAAUUCCAGCAGAAUGGCUGAAGCCAACCAGUCUCAAGACCUCAACCAAGGAACCAACCAACUCUGCACAGGAAUGCGGUUUCUUCAUCUCCCUGUCCCAGGAAUUCCCCCUUGCUUCUUGACCAAUCAGCAAUCCCCACAUUUUAGCCCUACCUGUUCAGACCCUUUACAAGCUCCAUCCCCAAACCCUGGAGGGAGGAGGAUUUGAAGGUUCCUCUGUCUCAUUUGACUGCCCUACAAUUAUUAAACUCUUUCUCUACUGCAACUCCCAUUGUGUCUGCAUACUGGUCUGUUAUCAUGCAACAAGCAAUCAAACCUAGUGGUCCUAUAACACUUUGGUUUAACUUUAUUUAGUUAAAAUACAGUAAUUUUUAAACCAGCCUAUUUUAAGUGGGAAGGUGGAACAGUUUGUAACAUACCAUGUUAAAAAAUAUAAACAUAAUAACAAUAAGACCAAUAUAAAUAAGCUGCUAUUAUAUACUGGUUAACCUCAUAAUGAUCAUGUGUCAA